GGGUUUUUAGUAUAAUUUUUAAUACUUUUGAUUGCAGAUCAUUUAAUUUAUAGCCUU
rnacentral:tRNA from 1 species